AGUGCCUGUGUAGGCUGGCUGCAAAUGACUUCAUUUUUCACAGCCAUCACCUCCAGGUUUUCUCACUUGAAGUAAGACACUGUCUGGAGAAAAGAGGAGAAGAAGAAUCAUAUCCAUGUGACAAGCUGAUAUAGCUCUACCAACACUCUACCAGCUCUACCAACACAAUGAGGCUCCAGGGAGACCUCACUGUGGCCUCCCAGUACUUGAGAGGAGCAUAUAAACAGGAGGGGGGACGACUGUUUACAUGGGUGAGUAGUGAUAGGACAAGGGGGUAAAAUUAUGCCUUUUGCCAAAGUUAUAUCACUUUCACUGAAUCCAGUGGAAAAUGAAGCUAUUGAACUGUAAAAUAUGUGUUCCUUAUACAUUGCAAAGAAGGGAAGUGCAACAUGUCCAUCAGCAGUACUUCUUCAUCUUGUGCUGUGCAUGAGAGGUAAAGAAGCUUGCCCUGGUCUCACUCUUUAGAUAACUGAAUUGUGCUGUAACUCCUUAUGGUUGGUGACUGCGGAACUGUCCUGGGAAAACAAGACUGGUAGGGACAGCAAUAACUCUUACCAGCCUUCCUGAUAUAUUUGGAAAAAUCAGAUGAGCUGUCAGGUUCCUGAAGUUGACUCUGUGGUUGAAAAUGUUUUAUAUUUAGUUUGGUGAAGGAUGUGAGCUUUGCUCUAAGUCUUACUUUCUCUGGCUGUCACACCUACAACAACAGCACCGUUAUACAGCAAACUGAGAAUUUCACCUUCUUUCCCAGAGGCUUGAAGAAAGACUAUUGUAUGUUCCAUAAGAUGCUGGGAAGGAAGAAGCAAUGAUUUUUGUAUCAAUAGGCUAUGAUCUAUCUCUAGCCUGAUCACUCCAAUCCCUCCAGCACUGCAUCAGAGCUGAAGCUGUUCACUGAAUCCCCCCAUUUGCUUCUGGAUACCCACUCUCAUGCCAACAGCUUCUGCUCUGUUUAGAUCAGCAACUCAGGCACACAUUUCAUAGCCAUCAGCUUUUGGUUUUGGUUUUAAAAACAUGCAAAAUAGCUUCACUUCCUCUGGCAUCCAUAUGUUGAACUGCUAUAUCAUACAGAUGCUUUUCUUUAAACUUUUAAUUUGAAAAGUCUGAUUAAAUUGAGAGUUAACUGUGAAUUGAGAAUUAAAUCAUUUAACUGUCUUAAUUCCACAUUUCUAAAUGAAUCGUUUUCUAGGACUUUGGCAAGUCAUUUUUGUACUUGGUUUAUAUGAGUUGGGAAGCUGUGGAGCCUUGAUCCAACAUUCUCUCUUCUGGAACAUGGAAUUAAAUGCCCAAAUGGACUUUCAGAGGAACCACUGAGUCUCUGUAGUACAACUUAUAUACUGAAAAGAAACAGAAGACAGGAGAGAAAACACAUGCUGGAGAAAGAGAAUACGUUUUCUGAGAUAAACAGACAACAGAUCAACAGUUAAAAUAAGUUUUGUUACUUUCAUACAUUACAUAUUUUACAAGGACUGCUCUGAAAGUAAUAACUCCUAUUUUAUUAUGUUGGUCCAUGACAUCAGAGAUGGAUGUUGGUGGUAUGGCAGUAGAGGUUGCAAGUUCCACCAGUAUUUCAUUACAUUUUGUUGCCAUGUGACAGAUGGCAGCAGAGGAGCAGUUUGACAAAAUGGUGUCUGACAUGGAAGUGUGUGUGAAGCAAAGAUGUGUCACUGAAUUCUUCCAUG
ensembl:lncRNA